GAGCCAAUCCACAUUAAAAACUUCAGUCUGCCUGAAGUUGGCACAUACAGAUCUGGUCUUGUAGAUACAUAAAUUCACAUCCUGAAGGAUACUUGGUAGCCCCACUCCCUCUUGGGUGCUCAGCUCCCAUUGAUAAUGCCAUGUGCUAAUUCAGGCACCCAGGCUUCCAUGUAAUGUUCUUACUAUGAAGGACAGUUGGUCUUGAGGGAAAACAUUUACAUAGAUGACAGCUAUUUUCAGGAAAAUGAAAAGUACUGAGUGAAAAAGGAGGUUUUGACACUGGGUGAGAUGUAGGGUUUACACACAGUAGUUUUUGCUGCAUGUAUAUAAAUGGAUGAUUUACCAUAUUUAAAUAAAAUAAAUUCACACUCCAUUUGUAAGUGUCUAAUUUAUUUAUUUGUAGAGAUGUAUGGAAACCUUGGUUUGAAAAGCAGUUUGCAUAACAUCUGGUAUGUCAACAGUGCAACCUUCCAAUGUACUCGUUGGUGAAAAUGUCAACAGAACAAACCUGAACUCAGCAUUGGUUUACACAGAUUUCCUGGCAGACAAAGCAGUAUACUAUGAUUUGCAUGUCAGCGUAAGUGACAUGUGCCCUCCAGUUUUGAGGAGUUUACACAGCUCAGAGGUCUAAAAAGAACACAGCACAUGGCUGGUUCUUUGCAGACGUGUGCUGGCAACACAAACCCCUCGUAUUUGUGAAGUGUGAAACACUAUCUCAUUUUGACUUCCAAGUUUUCAAAAGUGGCUUUUGAUUUUUCACUGAAAUUGCUUUCUGGUGUUUUUGGGUUUUGUGGACGCAGGAAAAAAUAUAAGAUUAUAGACCCAAAGGUGGCUUAAAUCCUGGUAGUAUGCAAUCCAUGAGCAUAUUUUUUCAAUUAUUUUUACUUUUUAUGUUUUCUACACACAAAGAUACUGUACUGGGAUAUGAGAGAGGAACCGAUUGAAUUCUUGAUCGCUAUUAAUAAUAUGAAAGCAGAGAUGACAACAUUAGGAUAUUACUUACACCUCUUAUAUUGCUGCCUGCACCAGACUGGUCACAUAAAUCACUGCUGUUUCUCCUUGUUCUACCCACACUGUCUGGUUUCGGUCUGAUUUGGGUGGUGUACGUCUCUAUGGGUGAGGGGAAAACUUUGUGUGUCUAUUGUUGCCUAUCAGCUUUAAAAAAAUGAAAUGAAAGCCACACAUGACCCCACACUUGCAGCUAGGAAAGAGACACUCCAGACUGGUGGUAUAACACUCCUGCCCUGCAGUUUGAGCAGAUCCUGAAAUGCUCUUGGAUUUCCCAGGAUUUGAUAAUCUGAUUUUUUUUUUAAUCAUCACUUCUUUCAGGAUCACAUUAACUGGACAAGCAGUAAGGGUUAUCACAAGUUUAAGGGAAAGUUUUUAUUGAGGCAUGUCAUGCUUUAAGUGGAUGUGUCUGUAGCGGAAAUGCUAAGUCAGGGCUUGAAGCAGCAAUGGAGCACCUGGUGGGAAGGCAGGGCCAAGCCAGGGCAGCUCAGGUGCAUGCAAUGUUCCUGAGUGAUCAGGAGCAGUGGAGCCAGGAGCUACCCUUCCCAGAACUCAUUUAAGGGUUGGCAGGGGAAGCAAGAAGAUCUUGCUGGAGCUCCCUGUGUACCUGAGGUUUUCUGAAGCAUCCUGCUUCAAGACUUCUUGUGGCUUGCCCAGAAUUACAGAACUAAUUAAUAGGCCAGUCCUGAGGGAGAAGACAGAGCUGAAGGUGGCCCAAAGGAUGAGAUCGCCCUGCUGGCCCCGUAAGGGCAGCAGCUGCAUUGUUCUGGAAGCAGCUCUCCCAUGCUCCUCGUGCUUCCUGACAAAGCAGCAUCAGCUCAGGUCCGAGCGGAGCUCUCAUUUCUCACUGCUGCAGGGCAAUGCUUGGAGAUGCGUGCAGCUCAGGGGAUGGCAAUCUGCUGACCUGGACAGGGACCAAGCGUAUGUGUCCCGGGUUUCAGCGCUUCCAGGAUCUCAGCAGAGUGAGGGAUUUCUGCAGCUGCCAAGAGCUAGGGCACUUCCUUUGCCUUUCCUUUCUUGGUCUAAACCAGAAACUAGUCUUCAAGGAGGACAAAGACCAUCAAAGUGCUUAAGAAUAAAUAGUAAUUCAUAGCAGUCUUUGCUAAUGUGCUUAAUUUAGAGCUCUGGAGUCCAAGUCCUAGCCACAUCUCCUCUGGAUUCCAUUUUUACGGAGCAGUUGACCUAUUUAUUCACUUUUUGACCUAACAGAGGAAGAAAUAGAGGAUGGAAAAGACAUGACCAAAAUGAGGGGUUUAAAUAAAUAGCUUUAAGUGUGGGAGAAGACCAAAUUCAUUGUAACUGUAAACAUGUUUUUCUGACGUGAGCCAGAUCUGAGCACCCAUAUACUUUGGGCAAAUUUGAGUGAAUCUGAGCUUUGCAACCAGUUUGUGCCUCAGUCCUCUGCCAAACAAAAACCUAAACUGGAACUUGGGAAGUGAAUACUGAGGCUCAGUUGGUUCAGAUAAUCGUCCUCUGUGCAAACCUCCCAAACUCGUCCCAUUGGGAGUUACAGUUAAUUAAAUUAAGAUUUCACUCCUCUUCACUGAUAUCUUCAUCUCUGGGUAGAGCCUUGGGCAAAGUUGAAAGUGGAACUUGCUUCCUGUGCUUCAAGGCAGCUUUGUCUAAAACUGACUCCAGAAUCAAAAGCGCCGUGUGCAGCUAUUAACGCGCCCUCACCGC